AGUGAAGAGGAAAGAGCUCAAAGUUGGUAAACUGUUUGGCUUACUAAACCGUAUUGUAAACUGUAGAAACAUUUUCCUGGCACGCCGGAUUAAUAAGUCCUUUGGAACAAGGCAUCAUGGAGGGUGAGAAUCCCGUCUUUGAUCCGAGUAGUUGUCUUUUGUGAUAUGUUUUCAAAGAGUCAGGUUGUUUGGGAAUGCAGCCUAAAUUGGGUGGUAAAUCUCACCUAAAGCUAAAUAUUUGCGAGAGACCGAUAGCGAACAAGUACCGUGAGGGAAAGAUGAAAAGAACUUUGAAAAGAGAGUUAAACAGUAUGUGAAAUUGUUAAAAGGGAACCGUUUGGAGCCAGACUGGUUUGACUGUAAUCAACCUAGAAUUCGUUCUGGGUGCACUUGCAGUCUAUACCUGCCAACAACAGUUUGAUUUGGAGGAAAAAAUUAGUAGGAAUGUAGCCUCUCGAGGUGUUAUAGCCUACUAUCAUACUCUGGAUUGGACUGAGGAACGCAGCGAAUGCCUUUAGGCAAGAUUGCUGGGUGCUUUCGCUAAUAAAUGUUAGAAUUUCUGCUUCGGGUGGUGCUAAUGUUUAAAGGAGGAACACAUGCUAGUAUAUUU
rnacentral:rRNA from 2 species